rnacentral:rRNA from 1 species
GACGAACGCUGGCGGCGUGCUUAACACAUGCAAGUCGAACGGAAAGGCCCUGCUUUUGUGGGGUGCUCGAGUGGCGAACGGGUGAGUAACACGUGAGUAACCUGCCCUUGACUGUGGGAUAAUUUAAGGAAACUGGGGCUAAUACCGGAUAGGAGCUCCUGAUGCAUGGUGGGGGUUGGAAAGUUUCGGCGGUUGGGGAUGGACUCGCGGCGGAUCAGCUUGUUGGUGGGGUAGUGGCUUACCAAGGCUUUGACGGGUAGCCGGCCUGAGAGGGUGACCGGCCACAUUGGGACUGAGAUACGACCCAGACUCCUACGGGAGGCAGCAGUGGGGAAUAUUGCACAAUGGGCGGAAGCCUGAUGCAGCAACGCCGCGUGCGGGAUGACGGCCUUCGGGUUGUAAACCGCUUUCGCCUGUGACGAAGCGUGAGUGACGGUAAUGGGUAAACAAGCACCGGCUAACUACGUG